rnacentral:rRNA from 1 species
UACGUAGGUGGCGAGCGUUGUCCGGAAUCAUUGGGCGUAAAGGGAGCGCAGGCGGGCAUGUAAGUCUUUCUUAAAAGUGCGGGGCUCAACCCCGUGAUGGGAAAGAAACUAUAUGUCUUGAGUACAGGAGAGGAAAGCGGAAUUCCCAGUGUAGCGGUGAAAUGCGUAGAUAUUGGGAGGAACACCAGUGGCGAAGGCGGCUUUCUGGACUGCAACUGACGCUGAGGCUCGAAAGCCAGGGGAGCGAACGGG